rnacentral:lncRNA from 1 species
GGGCCCACCUAUUAUAGUUUUUGCAAACAAAAGUUUGCUUUCGUAGGGCUCAUUUAAAAGCUAGAUUUUCAAUGUGAAAAAGUCCAAUCAUAGCUUCUGGUCUUCCUGGCAUUUGUGAGAUUAAUAAAUAAUUGCAGUGGACUUCAGGCUAAGUGUGUAGGUGAUCAUUAGGCGUUAUGUAUGAUUGUUUAAUGUGUAGGCCUGGGAGGUGUUAGGACUUCAGAUCUAAGCAGUGUCUGGCGUACGUGUCACCUGUUCUCGACCACAUCAUCCUCUCCUGGAUCCCACUAAAAACAAGCCGAUCCCAUCUAACUCACGCACCACAGCAUCCUACGCACUCGUGUUGCCAGAUGCUUGUCUGUUGCUGCUACCAUUGCGGUUAUAAUGAUAUGGAUCAGCAGCAGCUAGAUAUGUACAGCAAAUCGAUAUGUGAGGAAGUGACACAACCAGAUAAGAAAAUAAUUAAACUUGUCUAUUUGAAUUACUAAACAUGUCUAAUAAUGCAAUCAACCAAUUCAAGCUGGACCUAGCUAGGUGAACCAAAGCGAAAUAAGAUAGAGGAGAGUUAUGCCCAUAAGUAAAGAAAGAGGAGACAAAUAUUUUAGGCUGGGUAAGAUUCAUAGUACGUCCAUCAAGUGUUUAGGAACAAAUCAGGAUUAGCCGACAUAAGAAAAUCAGCCAGAGAUGUCAGUCCUCCUAUGGAAGAUAGUUCAGGAUUUGUAUGCAGCAAGAGAAAAAUAGAGAUGAUUUGCAUUUGGCAAGAAAUAAAUUAGAAGACAUUGAGAAGAAAGAGGA